UAAUAGCUCACUGGUCGAGUCGGCCUGCGCGGAAGAUGUAACGGGGCUAAACCAUGCACCGAAGCUGCGGCAGCGACGCUUAUGCGUUGUUGGGUAGGGGAGCGUUCUGUAAGCCGUUGAAGGUGUGCUGUGAGGCAUGCUGGAGGUAUCAGAAGUGCGAAUGCUGACAUAAGUAACGAUAAAGCGGGUGAAAAGCCCGCUCGCCGGAAGACCAAGGGUUCCUGUCCAACGUUAAUCGGGGCAGGGUGAGUCGACCCCUAAGGCGAGGCCGAAAGGCGUAGUCGAUGGGAAACAGGUUAAUAUUCCUGUACUUGGUGUUACUGCGAAGGGGGGACGGAGAAGGCUAUGUCAGCCGGGCGACGGUUGUCCCGGUUUAAGCAUGUAGGCGGAGGUUCCAGGUAAAUCCGGUACCUUAUUAACGCUGAGGUGUGAUGACGAGGCACUACGGUGCUGAAGUGAUAAAUGCCCUGCUUCCAGGAAAAGCCUCUAAGCAUCAGGUAACACGAAAUCGUACCCCAAACCGACACAGGUGGUCAGGUAGAGAAUACCAAGGCGCUUGAGAGAACUCGGGUGAAGGAACUAGGCAAAAUGGUGCCGUAACUUCGGGAGAAGGCACGCUGAUAUGUAGGUGAAGCCCCUGCGGGCGGAGCUGAAAUCAGUCGAAGAUACCAGCUGGCUGCAACUGUUUAUUAAAAACACAGCACUGUGCAAACACGAAAGU
rnacentral:rRNA from 1 species